AUCAUUCUGACGAGUCUCAAAUUGGACGAAACUCGCGUCCCUGAU
rfam:Schistosoma haematobium scaffold770_26, whole genome shotgun sequence.